CUUGGUCAUUUAGAGGAAGUAAAAGUCGUAACAAGGCCUCCGUUGGUGAACCAGCGGAGGGAUCAUUACAGAGUUGCAAAACUCCCUAAACCAUUGUGAACGUUACCUAAACCGUUGCUUCGGCGGGCGGCCCGGGUCCUUCCCGGCGCCCCCCGGCCCUCGCGGGCGCCCGCCGGAGGUAAACCAAACUAUUGCAUUAAUGGCCUCUCUGAGUCUUCUGUACUGAAUAAGUCAAAACUUUCAACAACGGAUCUCUUGGUUCUGGCAUCGAUGAAGAACGCAACAAAAUGCGAUAAGUAAUGUGAAUUGCAGAAUUCAGUGAAUCAUCGAGUCUUUGAACGCACAUUGCGCCCGCCAGUAUUCUGGCGGGCAUGCCUGUUCGAGCGUCAUUUCAACCCUCAAGCCCCCGGGUUUGGUGUUGGGGAUCGGGCUGUACUCCAGCCCGGCCCCGAAAUCUAGUGGCGGUCUCGCUGCAGCCUCCAUUGCGUAGUAGCUAACACCUCGCAACUGGAACGCGGCGCGGCCAAGCCGUUAAACCCCCAACUUCUGAAUGUUGACCUCGGAUCAGGUAGGAAUACCCGCUGAACUUAAGCAUAUCAAUAAGCGGAGGA
rnacentral:misc_RNA from 1 species